CCAAUAGCGUAUAUUAAAGUUGUUGCAGUUAAAAAGCUCGUAGUUGAAUUUCGGGGUUAGUAGGUUGGUCAUGCCUCUGGUAUGUACUGGUCUCACUGAUUCCUCCUUCCUGAUGAACCGUAAUGCCAUUAAUUUGGUGUUGCGGGGAAUUUGGACUGUUACUUUGAAAAAAUUAGAGUGUUUAAAGCAAGCUAACGCUUGAAUACAUUAGCAUGGAAUA
rnacentral:rRNA from 1 species